CUCUCAAGUGUAAGAGAAGUGUGAAAAAGGGGCCAGAGGUGGUUGGUUUUUGCUAGGUUUGAGAUGGUCGAGUAUUAUUGUUAGGAUGAGCUUGAGAAUUAUGCAUGGUAGAAGAGUAAUCGAGUGUCUAGAAAGGUGACAAAUUUCCGGGUGCCUUGUGAAACCAUACGAAGAUUCAUCUGGGAAAACGGAUAUGUAUCAGUGUUGAAAAUUCUUUGGACAACCAGGGAGGUCUUCAAAUGUGGUAUAUCUUUCACAAUUGGGAACGGUCAAAUGGUUAAUUUUUGGACUGAUAUCUGGUGCGAUCGAGCUCCACUGCGAACUUUAUAUCCGUGUAUCUUUGAUAAGAUCACUUCCAAAAACUCCAGAGUGAAGGAGUGUUGGGGGAGAGGGUGGAAGUGGCAUAAGAUUUUGUCAGGAUUCACCCCUUCGACCCCGACAGACAGCGACCAACUAUCAAACUUCAAGGAGUUGCUUGUCACGAUUUCUCCAAGUAAUUCACAGGACGAAAUAAGAUGGAGGUGGACACAUUCCGAAACGUUCUCGGUCAACUCGGUAUAUAAAUUCCUUAUGGACGGUGGAGUCAAAGUUGACAGUUCCGUACGUCUUUGGAAGAUUAGAUUCCCUCUUAAAGUCAAGAUCUUCAUUUGGCUUGUGCUGAAAAACAAGGUGCUUACUAGGGAUAACCUUCUCAUAAGGGGUUGGAAUGGAGAUGAAAAUUGUGUUUUAUGUCUAGAAGAGAAGGAGACUGCGGGUCAUCUCUUCUCUGGCUGCGCCUACACCACAGCUUUACUGAAAGGUUUGCUACCUAAUAAACUAAUCUUUAACAAUCGCCCUUCCGCGAAGGAGAUUUGGGAAAAAAGUAGUGCCAAAAAGGACGCACAGGGGAUAUAGAAAUAUUGACCAUCGUUGCAACGUGGUGGGUAUUAUGGUUGGAGCGCAACAAAAGAAUUUUUCAGCAAUCAAGACGGGUGCUAGGGAGUCUGUUUUUGGAGAUCAGAGUACUUAGAGACUCGUGGAAUCGUUCAUGUAGUUGAUAUGUGAUGCUUUUGUUUUUCUUUUUGGUUUUCUUCUCUUUUCUUCUUUUCUUUUCUCUUUUGUCUUUCUUCUGUUUUUCUCUUGUACCUUGAGUUUGUCUUUUUUCUUUUCCUCUUUCUUUCCUCUCGAGGCCCUGGAUGCCUCAAUCUGUAGCUAAGUUCACUCCCUAGUUGAAUGAAGCGGUAGCAUGCUAUCUUUUCUCAAAAAAAAAAAAAAAA